rnacentral:rRNA from 1 species
GUAGGGAAUAUUGCGCAAUGGACGAAAGUCUGACGCAGCGACGCCGCGUGAGUGAUGAAGGCCUUAGGGUCGUAAAGCUCUGUUGAAUGGGAAGAAAAAAAUGACGGUACCAUUCGAGGAAGGACCGGCUAACUUCGUGCCAGCAGCCGCGGUAAUACGAGGGGUCCUAGCGUUGUUCGGAAUCAUUGGGCGUAAAGGGUGUGUAGGUGGCCAUGUAAGUCAGGUGUGAAAGCCCCGGGCUCAACCCGGGAAGUGCACUUGAUACUGCGUGGCUUGAGUACCGAAGAGGGUAGUGGAAUUCCAGGUGUAGUGGUGAAAUACGUAGAUAUCUGGAGGAACACCGGUGGCGAAGGCGGCUACCUGGUCGAGUACUGACACUGAGACACGAAAGCAUGGGGAUCAAACAGGAUUAGAAACCCUGGUAGUCC